rnacentral:snRNA from 1 species
GGAAGGGCAAUCUGGCUGCUACAUCUAUCACCUACUGAUUUUUCAGUUGAUUUUGCUUAUCUGAUUGGCUAAGUGAGGUCACCUUUCUCCCACAACCCUCCAUCUGCAUCUCUCCCAAACCUCAAUCAAAAAGGAUAACCUUAUAUAGAGCAGAAAUCAUCUUUUGUCAAGUUGUUGAUUUCCCUGGGUAUAAUUUCAAAACUAGCUCUGCUCUUUAAGUGUAGAUAAUUUCAUGUAAUUUGCUUCUGUCUCUUGUACUGUAAAAGAUCCUUCUCUGUCUUUUACAGGAGAAGGGAGAU